rnacentral:rRNA from 1 species
UGGGGAAAUUGCACAAUGGGCGAAAGCCUGAUGCAGCAACGCCGCGUGCGGGAUGACGGCCUUCGGGUUGUAAACCGCUUUCAGCAGGGGCGAAGGUUUUCUGACGGUACCUGCAGAAGAAGCACCGGCUAACUACGUGCCAGCAGCCGCGGUGAUACGUAGGGUGCGAGCGUUGUCCGGAAUUAUUGGCGUAAAGAGCUUGUAGGCGGUCCGUUGCGUCGGAAGUGAAAACUCAGGGCUUAACCCUGAGCCUGCUUUCGAUACGGCGGACUUGAGGGAUGUAGGGGAGAACGGAAUUCCUGGUGGAGCGGUGGAAUGCGCAGAUAUCAGGAGGAACACCAGUGGCGAAGGCGGUUCUCUGGACAUUUCCUGACGCUGAGAAGCGAAAGCGUGGGGAGCAAACAGGCUUAGAUACCCUGGUAGUCCACGCCGUAAACGGUGGGCANUAGGUGUGGGA